rnacentral:rRNA from 1 species
UACGAAGGGGGCGAGCGUUGUUCGGAUUUACUGGGCGUAAAGGGCGCGCAGGCGGUCAUUUUUGUCGAGUGUGAAAGCCCCGGGCUUAACCUGGGAACUGCGCUCGAAACGGGAUGACUAGAGAUCGGGAGAGGAGAGUGGAAUUCCCAGUGUAGAGGUGAAAUUCGUAGAUAUCGGGAGGAACACCUGUGGCGAAGGCGGCCCCCUGGUUGGAUACUGACGCUGAGACGCGAAAGCGUGGGGAGCAAACAGG